rnacentral:rRNA from 1 species
GAUGAACGCUGGCGGCGUGCCUAAUACAUGCAAGUCGAGCGAACAGAUGAGGAGCUUGCUCCUCUGACGUUAGCGGCGGACGGGUGAGUAACACGUGGAUAACCUACCUAUAAGACUGGGAUAACGUCGGGAAACCGGAGCUAAUACCGGAUAAUAUAUUGAACCGCAUGGUUCAAUAGUGAAAGACGGUUUUGCUGUCACUGAGAGAUGGAUCCGCGCCGCAUUAGCUAGUUGGUAAGGUAACGGCUUACCAAGGCAACGAUGCGUAGCCGACCUGAGAGGGUGAUCGGCCACCCUGCAACUGAGACACGGUCCAGACUCCUACGGGAGGCUGCAGUAGGGAAUCUUCCGCACUGGGCGAAAGCCUGACGGAGCAACGCCGCGUGAGUGCUGACGGUCUUCGGAUCGUAAAUCUCUGUUCUUAGGGAAGAACAAAUGUGUCAGUAACUAUGCACGUCUUGACGGUACCUAAUCAGAAAGCCACGGCUAACUACGUG